rnacentral:rRNA from 1 species
CCUACGGGACGCAGCAGUCGGGAAUAUUGCGCAAUGGAGGAAACUCUGACGCAGUGACGCCGCGUGCAGGAAGAAGGUUUUCGGAUUGUAAACUGCUUUAGAUAGGGAAGAAAAAAAUGACAGUACCUAUAGAAUAAGCUCCGGCUAACUACGUGCCAGCAGCCGCGGUAAUACGUAGGGAGCGAGCGUUAUCCGGAUUUAUUGGGUUUAAAGGGUGCGCAGGCGGUCUGUUAAGUCAGCGGUCAAAGCCCGGGGCUCAACCCCGGCCCGCCGUUGAAACUGGCAGUCUCGAGUUGGAGAGAAGG